rnacentral:lncRNA from 1 species
GCGCCUGCGCGAGGGUUCCGCCUAGACCCCGCCCCGCCCAGCCCCGCCCAGCCCCUCGGCCACCUCCGCCUCCACUCGGCGCAUGCGCAGUUUUGAGUCUCCACCCUCCACCUACGCCUGUGCGGCCUCACCCUGCGUGUCGGGGCGGGAGCUGCUCCGUGGCUGCCACGUGGUCCCCUCCGCCUGCGCGUGCCUGUGUUGGGGGACCGGAACCCCAAGCUUUGUGACACCGGCCCAGGGUCUGGGGCGACUGACUCCGAAUCCUGACAGACCGCAGUGGGGAGUCACUUGCUUCUCCAUUCACAGAAGGACCAAACUCCUGAGACGCCCUCUCACAGGGUCACCUCCACUUUCAGAGUGCAUCUCAGCUGGACAAAAGCCCCUAUUCCAUUAGCACCCACAGGAAGUAUUUCAGGCAACCCCAAAUCCUAUAAUCUGCCUUCACUAGCACUUUCAUACAGAGAAGACCCAUGGAUCCCAUGCUGUGUGCUUUCCCUCAUAGCCAUGAGUCAAUAAACCCAAAUCUCCUCAGUAACAAAGAUCAAAGAGCCCUUGCAAUCUUUGGGUUUUAUUCCUUGCAUCUAAAUAAAUGAGAAAUCCUUUUACUGUUUUGUUUGUUUUCUUAUUUAUCUAUUUAGGCAUACUUCAAAUGUUAGAUGAUACUCAUCUUUCAAUUUUUUCAACCAAAUGCCAAAGAAACAUGGAAAAAAUAAAACAUCUCAGCAACUCAACAUCCUCAAAAUGGCUCAAAACACAUUGGUGACAAUCAUUCAUCAAACCUGGGACACAGGCAGUGGAUUCCAAGAC